AUGGUUUGUCUGUGGGGCCCUUUGGCCAGAGCCCCACACCAGGUAUUUUACGGACUUGUGCUUCUGUUACCUUCUCCGCGACCAAAGUGCCUAAAGAGAGCAGGAACGGGUGGCUCAAGCGAAGGGGGCCCUCGGGAGCCAGCCCGAUGUCGGCUGCGAGAAUCCCCAGCGGGUCCGAUGAUGGUGAGAGUGGCGGCAGCGCCUCGCAGCCCACAGUGGGAGGACGCCGGCCGGGGCUUCCGAGGAAGGGGCUCAGUGGUGAGGGGAAGCGGUGUGACCAAAGACCUCACCGACCACCACCGUGUGCUCUGCGCUAGCUGCUUUCUCAGUGUCGGGGUACGCAGCCCUGCCCCAGCCCAACAACGCCUCUUUGGUGGAAGAGAAAAACCGCCCGUCGAACCGAGCGAGCAGUGACCGCGUCUGGCGAUGACCGCGCCGUUUAUCCCCGCCCUCCCACAUCCCUCCGCUGUGGAGGAGAGAAGCGGGACUCCCUUAUCCCUUUGGCGGGGUCAAGAUUGGUCCCGAUGGUCACGCAGCAUUUGGCUUCCUCCUAACGGCGUUUUCGUGACCUGAUUGAAGGCAUUGUCUGGACUGUCCACUGAUUUCAUUUAUUUCACUGUGUUACCGGUUCUUACAAAUCUUUCUGCUUCUCCAAAUUCCUCAUACUUGUCAUUUCGCUCUGCAUGGUGAUAGCCUGUUACAUUUAUGCCAGCUACCAUUGACAGAGCAUUUUAAGGUUGACAAAGUGCUUUAUAGACAUUAUCUCAUUUGAUUCCCACAACGGCCCUGGGAGGGAAGGGCUAUUUUUAUUAUUCCCAUUUGACAGUUGAGGAAACAGAGGGGAAGUGACUUGCCCUGGGUCACACAGCUAGUACACUAUCUGAGGCUGGAUUUGAACUCAGGUCUCCCUGACCCCAGGCUCAGCACAAAUCACAGUUUGUUCAGCCAUUCUUCAGUUAAUGGGCAUCUGCUUUGUUCCUAGGCUUUUCCUCCCACAAAAGCACUGCUAUGAAUAUCUUUCCCAACCCUGCUUAAGAACUAAUGAUGACACUUAGGAAUGAUGUGACUAGUGCCGAGCCUCAGUUUCCCCCUUUGCAAAACAGGGAUAAGGAAGCCUGCCCUGCUUAUUAUCUCGCCAGGUGAUUGAGAUAAGAGCUUUUGGGGUCUUCGGACUCUCUGGCAAUGACAGUUCCACUUCCUAGCUUGUGUUUCUGAGGCUUCUUUCUCUCCUGAAUUUUCCCUCCCUAAAAUGGCUAAUCUGGAAAUAUGUUUUGCAUCACUUCCCACAUAAAUGGGUAUCAUAUCACUUGUCUUCUCAAUUGGUAAGGAAAGGAGCUGGAAGGAGAGAAUUUGGAACUCAAAUUUUUAAAAAGGAAUGCAAAAAAUUAAUUCAUUUAAAAAAUCAUAGGGAAGU
rnacentral:lncRNA from 1 species